UGAACCCUAAGGUACAUGUAUGUCAUCACAUAACAUUAUGCAUAACUACAAUAUUCACAAAGUCAAAGGUACAAAGCUCUCGUAACAUUAUCGAGGGGCAAUUUGUGCACUCUUAAGAAGCAUAUGCUCAAAAUCAAAACAAAGGCAGAUGCCUAUAGUCCAUCCUUUCAAAGUGAUACUGGUUGAUCCAAAGCUUAUGAAUGACUGACUGGUAUCUUAUCUGCAGAAGCAAUGCUGGCUCAUAACCUUCUCCUCAGCUUUCAAGUAUGAGUUCAUCCAACUUCCUCGCGUUCCCCCGGAAAUGCAUCGACAACGCUAUCCAAACAGCAUUAGUUCUAUAAUCAAAAUGAGUUCAUCUCCAGACAGUAAGUCCUUCUUUUGACCAACAUCCUAGCAGCUGUUCCAUAAGGCUCCUUGAAUGCAGCUCCCACCCAAUUCCCAUCUGCCCCAACUACCUCUUUCUUGGGCUGUUCACUCGGCCUAAUUGCCACCAAAGUGGCCCCUUUGAGCACUGUUCCAUCAGGUAAUUCCAAAUGUGCGGCAUACCACAACCGCAUAUUCAACGCCGGAACCAAAGUCCUUUUGGAGGCCGAUGAAGCUGAGAGAGGCUUCACCCUCAGCUCCUCCAGUUGAUCUUUGUUCAUACACAACACUCCUUGCUCAUCUGCAUCUGUCAAAACCAAACUAUCCAGAGUUUUAUGCUCCGCAAUUAUAGGCUGCAGCAGAUAGUGCCUUGCGGAAGCUGCAAUUAACGAACUAAUCGUCCACACCACCCUCAGCUUCAAACCCCCGUUGGUGUAAAACGAAUCGGGUAUGCUCCCAUUAUCAUUUUCCCCAUUUCCAUCCGUGUUUGGAAGACUACAACCACUGGUACUAGUUACAGGUUGAAUCACUGAAGAUGCACCAAGUAUAAUACAAUUAUCGAGGGUCGAUCCAAAAUCAGCUCUCCAUUUCAGCAACACCCCCUCAUCUAUCCCGAGCUCACCACUAGGCAAUUCGAUUCUGAGAAGCUUAAUCUCGUUAAAAUUCUUCAGAACUUGAGUAGGGGAAUGAUGGGUCACAGAGUUCUUCUCAAAAUCAUCACCGUCAACGACAGCGGCUGAAGAAGAGGCAGCACGUCGAGGUGAAAUGGAGAUGAAUUGGGUUAUAGAUUGAAAGGGUUUGAGUAAACCAGAGAAGACCAAACGAAAAAGGGAAGAGAUGGGGUGCCUGGACUUAUCAGAAGAGUAACCAGAAGAAGAAGAAGAAGACGGAGGAGAAGACUCAUCAUCGGAGAUAACACAAUCCACGCGAACGAGAACGUUGUCCACUUCAGGAACUAGUGAAUUGAACCUUCUAGAAACCACAGAACAACGACCCAAAGCCUUAACAUCGCCGAUCUUGUUGAAGAUGAAUAGAAGAAUUGAGUCUGGUAAUCGAUCGAAGUGGUCCAUGGGUUCGGGGUAAAUCAUGUUUCCGGUCAGAUCUGCAAACUCACCGUCGGGAUCUAAGGUAGAAGAGAAAGAAGAUGAGAAGCAAAAAUGCGGUGCUUGUGUAUACCACUCAUAUCCUUACAGUCUGUGUAGUCG
rnacentral:misc_RNA from 1 species